rnacentral:rRNA from 1 species
GACGAACGCUGGCGGCGUGCUUAACACAUGCAAGUCGAACGGAAAGGCCCUGCUUUUGUGGGGUGCUCGAGUGGCGAACGGGUGAGUAACACGUGAGUAACCUGCCCUUGACUUUGGGAUAACUUCAGGAAACUGGGGCUAAUACCGCAUAGGAGCUCCUGCUGCAUGGUGGGGGUUGGAAAGUUUCGGCGGUUGGGGAUGGACUCGCGGCUUAUCAGCUUGUUGGUGGGGGAGUGGCUUACCAAGGCUUUGACGGGUAGCCGGCCUGGGAGGGUGACCGGCCACAUUGGGACUGGGGUACGGCCCAGACUCCUACGGGAGGCAGCAGUGGGGAAUAUUGCACAAUGGGCGGAAGCCUGAUGCAGCAACGCCGCGUGCGGGAUGACGGCCUUCGGGUUGUAAACCGCUUUCGCCUGUGACGAAGCGUGAGUGACGGUAAUGGGUAAAGAAGCACCGGCUAACUACGUG